GACGAACGCUGGCGGCGUGCUUAACACAUGCAAGUCGAACGGAAAGGCCCUGCUUUUGUGGGGUGCUCGAGUGGCGAACGGGUGAGUAACACGUGAGUAACCUGCCCUUGACUUUGGGAUAACUUCAGGAAACUGGGGCUAAUACCGGAUAGGAGCUCCUGCUGCAUGGUGGGGGUUGGAAAGUUUCGGCGGUUGGGGAUGGACUCGCGGCUUAUCAGCUUGUUGGUGGGGUAGUGGCUUACCAAGGCUUUGACGGGUAGCCGGCCUGAGAGGGUGGCCGGCCACAAGGGGACUGAGGUACGGCCCAGAAGCCAACGGGAGGCAGCAGUGGGGAGUAUUACACAAUGGGCGGAAGUCUGAUACAGCAACGCCGGGUGCGGGAUGACGGCCUUCGAGUUGUAAACCGAUUUCGCCUGUGACGAAGCGUGAGUGACGGUAAUGGGUAAGGAAGCACCGGCUAACUACGUG
rnacentral:rRNA from 1 species